AGGACAUGUACGUAUAACCAAGUCAGUUUUAAAGGACAUGUACGUAUAAUCAAGUCAGUUUUAAAGGACAUGUACAUAUAAUCAAGCCAGUUUUAAAGGACAUGUACGUAUAAUCAAGUCAGUUUUAAAGGACAUGUACGUAUAAUCAA